UACAGAGGGGGCAAGCGUUGUUCGGAAUUACUGGGCGUAAAGGGCGCGUAGGCGGCCGCCUAAGUCAGACGUGAAAUCCCUCGGCUCAACCUGGGAACUGCGUCUGAUACUGGAUGGCUUGAAUCCGGGAGAGGGAUGCAGAAUUCCAGGUGUAGCGGUGAAAUGCGUAGAUAUCUGGAGGAAUACCGGUGGCGAAGGCGGCAUCCUGGACCGGCAUUGACGCUGAGGAGCGAAAGCCAGGGGAGCAAACGGG
rnacentral:rRNA from 1 species